GUGGGGAAUUUUGCGCAAUGGGCGAAAGCCUGACGCAGCAACGCCGCGUGGGUGAUGAAGGCCUUCGGGUCGUAAAGCCCUGUCGGAGGGAACGAACUCCCCGCCAACGAAUAAUUGGCGGGGCUUGACGGUACCCUCAAAGGAAGCACCGGCUAACCACGUGCCAGCAGCCGCGGUAAUACGUGGGGUGCAAGCGUUGUUCGGAAUUACUGGGCGUAAAGCGCGUGUAGGCGGCCAAACGGGUCAGGUGUGAAAUCCCUCGGCUUAACUGAGGAAGUGCGCCUGAAACUAUUUGGCUCGAGUACGGGAGAGGAGGAUGGAAUUCCCAGUGUAGAGGUGAAAUUCGUAGAUAUUGGGAGGAACACCGGCGGCGAAAGCGGUUCUCUGGACCGUUACUGACGCUGAGACGCGAAAGCGUGGGGAUCAAACAGGAUUAGAAACCCUAGUAGUCC
rnacentral:rRNA from 1 species